rnacentral:rRNA from 1 species
GUGGGGAAUCUUGCGCAAUGGGCGACAGCCUGACGCAGCAACGCCGCGUGGGGGAAGACGGCCUUCGGGUUGUAAACCCCUUUCGACGGGGACGAAGCUUCGGCGGUUAACAGCCGUCCGGAGUGACGGUACCCGGCUAAGAAGCCCCGGCUAACUACGUGCCAGCAGCCGCGGUAAUACGUAGGGGGCUAGCGUUGUCCGGAAUCAUUGGGCGUAAAGAGCGCGUAGGCGGCCAGACAAGUCCGGUGUGAAAGUCACAGGCUCAACCUGUGAAUGCCGCUGGAAACUGUCUGGCUAGAGUCCGGAAGGGGCGAGUGGAAUUCCUGGUGUAGCGGUGAAAUGCGCAGAUAUCAGGAGGAACACCAAUGGCGAAGGCAGCUCGCUGGGACGGUACUGACGCUAAGGCGCGAAAGCGUGGGGAGCAAACAGGAUUAGAUACCCGAGUAGUCC